rnacentral:rRNA from 1 species
UACGGAGGGGGCGAGCGUUAUUCGGAAUUACUGGGCGUAAAGCGCGCGUAGGCGGCUUUGCAAGUCGGGUGUGAAAUCCCCAGGCUUAACCUGGGAACUGCAUUCGAGACUGCAUUGCUAGAGUAUGGGAGAGGGAAGUGGAAUUUCCGGUGUAGCGGUGAAAUGCGUAGAUAUCGGAAGGAACAUCAGUGGCGAAAGCGACUUCCUGGACCAAUACUGACGCUCAUGUGCGAAAGCGUGGGGAGCAAACAGG